rnacentral:rRNA from 1 species
CCUACGGGCGGCAGCAGUAGGGAAUAUUGCUCAAUGGGGGAAACCCUGAAGCAGCAACGCCGCGUGGAGGAUGAAGGUUUUCGGAUUGUAAACUCCUUUUGUUAGAGAAGAUAAUGACGGUAUCUAACGAAUAAGCACCGGCUAACACCGUGCCAGCAGCCGCGGUAAUACGGAGGGUGCAAGCGUUACUCGGAAUCACUGGGCGUAAAGCGCGCGUAGGCGGGAUAGCAAGUCAGAUGUGAAAUCCUAUGGCUUAACCAUAGAACUGCAUUUGAAACUGGUAGUCUAGAGUAUGGGAGAGGUAGGUGGAAUUCUUGGUGUAGGGGUAAAAUCCGUAGAGAUCAAGAGGAAUACUCAUUGCGAAGGCGACCUGCUAGAACAUAACUGACGCUGAUGCGCGAAAGCGUGGGGAGCAAACAGGAUUAGAUACCCCUGUAGUC